AACGAACGCUGGCGGCAGGCUUAACACAUGCAAGUCGAACGCAUCCUUCGGGGUGAGUGGCAGACGGGUGAGUAACGCGUGGGAACGUGCCCUUCAGUUCGGGAUAACCCAGGGAAACUUGGGCUAAUACCGGAUACGUGCGAGAGCAGAAAGAUUUAUCGCUGAAGGAUCGGCCCGCGUCUGAUUAGCUAGUUGGUGGGGUAAUGGCCCACCAAGGCGACGAUCAGUAGCUUGUCUGAGAGGAUGAUCAGCCACAGUGGGACUGAGACACGGCCCAAAGUACUGCGGGAGGCAGCAGUGGGGAAUAUUGAGCAAUGGGCGCAAGCCUGAUCCAGCAAUGCCGCGUGAGUGAUGAAGGCCUUAGGGUUGUAAAGCGCUUUCGUCCGGGACGAUAAUGACGGUACCGGAAGAAGAAGCCCCGGCUAACUUCGUGCCAGCAGCCGCAGUAA
rnacentral:rRNA from 1 species